UACUGUCACGCUAAAAGUCGGCCUGAUUUCAAAAUUUUUGUGGCUGCUCGAAGUUUCAUUCAAAUUAAAAUAAAAUCCUCCCAAAAUGGUCAACAAAACCAACUCCAACGACCACGAGCCCACAGACAAUAAGCGCAGGCAUUCGAUCUCAGUGUCGGAACCGUACCGACGAAGCUCCACGGAGGAAAUCUAUACACGAACACGGUCGCUUUCGAGCAGCAGGAAGCGGCCAAACACAGUCCGGAGGCCGACUCGAAGCUGUUCCACGCGACCUGCGAUGAGCUGCACAAGUUAUUUGACGUGAUUGUGACGCUGAAGGAGGAGGGAGCGGCAUCGGAGGAGGUUCAGUGAAGAUUGCGGAGAAGCGGAUCGAGGGUUCGUUGGCGAGGAACCAACGGCGGCUGUGUUGAAAAUGGCCCAGUGUGCGCACUUUUUGUACGAGAAUUAUAGGAGAAACCGAAAAAGGACAUUUGUAACUGUAUCAAGUGAAAAUUAUGAAUGAAAAAUAAGAUGGUGAGAAAAAAAAAUCAAUUUAAGUCGUAAAAUAAAGUUGAAAAAUGUGAAAUCGGAA
rnacentral:lncRNA from 1 species